rnacentral:rRNA from 1 species
UGGGGAAUAUUGGACAAUGGGCGCAAGCCUGAUCCAGCCAUGCCGCGUGAGUGAUGAAGGCCCUAGGGUUGUAAAGCUCUUUCACCGGUGAAGAUAAUGACGGUAACCGGAGAAGAAGCCCCGGCUAACUUCGUGCCAGCAGCCGCGGUAAUACGAAGGGGGCUAGCGUUGUUCGGAUUUACUGGGCGUAAAGCGCACGUAGGCGGACUAUUAAGUCAGGGGUGAAAUCCCGGGGCUCAACCCCGGAACUGCCUUUGAUACUGGUAGUCUUGAGUGCGAGAGAGGUGAGUGGAAUUCCGAGUGUAGAGGUGAAAUUCGUAGAUAUUCGGAGGAACACAAGUGGCGAAGGCGGCUCACUGGCUCGAUACUGACGCUGAGGUGCGAAAGCGUGGGGAGCAAACAGG